UGUGUGUGUGUGUGUGUGUGUGCGUUUGUUUAUUUAACGCCGGUGAUCCACUAGCAUGCGAUGCGAACUCAGCGACGCAGUAUCCCUAAUAAUUUCUAU